GUUGCUGACAAUGACUGGUACUGGUAAGGCGAUUACCAGUACACCGGAUAGUGAGCAGAUGCCACCGACGAUCUUGCCCAUCACUGUCGAUGGCACCAUGUCACCGUAGCCAAG